rnacentral:lncRNA from 1 species
UUCGACUUGUUUCAUUGAUCAGUGCAUUUUGAUGCACCUUCUUCUACUAUUGUACUUAGGCAAAUCUAUAAUUUAUUAUAUUAUUUUUACUAUUUUAAGUUUAUUUUUGCCUUUAUUUUAUUUAAGCAAACGUUUAAGUUUAUUUUUGUCUUUAUUUUAUUUUUGUACUUUAUUUUCAACAUAAAUAGUUAUUUGAUACCUUAUCACUAUACAGAUCAU